CUGAGCUGUACUUUUAACUGUCCAAUGUGCUACUGUUAAAUUUAAAAAAAUUAUUGACUUUAGCAAUUUUAUGACAAUAUUUUUCUAACUUUUAAACUGCUUUUGACAUAGCCUUGAAAUUCAUUUAAAAGGAUGUUCCCCCUACCUUAACUACAGCAAAGCAGGGCUUCAGGCAAAGAAAUAACUCAGGGAGUUUUACUCCUAUCAAAGUCAUUUUGGAAAAGGUAAAUUCACAUAGUCAAAGUGAAGUUACCAGAAGUAUCAGAAGAAACAAAACCCAAUUGAAGCUACUAACAACAGAGCAUUUUUACUCCAUUUCACUUACCAAAAAUAACACAUGACACAAUUGUGAUGAAGACUUUCUAACUGUAGAAUGAAUCUUCCUCACCUCACUGGUUUUCAGAGCUAAUUGAGCUGUGUUUCUUCAUUUACUUUCUUGUUCUUUAUUUGUGUACUCUCAGUUACAAAGGUCACCACUGCAAUCCUGGGAGCCCUCCUUGGGUCUUUAAGAAUCUGGAAGCUUCUACUUACCCACUUAGGGUGGUGGUUUUUUACUGGGGCAGCUCAUUAGAACCAUCCUACCUCAGACCAAUUAAAUCAUAACCUCUCAGUACAUUUAUAAAAAUAGCUCCCCAGGUGAUUUCUAACAUGCAUGGAGUGUUGAAAAAAACACUCCUAGAAGAGGCAAGAUUUCCUUGACAGUGUCACCUUGAGUUGUGUUUGCUUUAUUUGAGGGUUGUCAAUUUUAAUAAAGCAACUUUUGCCUUGUCCAUUUUAAAGUGAUGGUAACACUGAUGUUACAAACUGGAGCCUUGCCUGGCUUCUUCGCUGCUGCUGUCCCAGGAUCCAAGCUGGUGAUGGUGGUGGGGGGUGCUCACCAGACUUGGGGGAAUGGGACAAAGGAGGCAGAUUCAUCUAUUCCUUCUCUAUUGCUUCAGUUUUCAGUAUGAAAAUGAUCAGCUAGCUGGUACAGGAGGCAAAGAGAUGGAGCGCGAACAUACGUCAGGUUGGUUGUAUGAAUCAUCAGUAAUGACACAGGGUCACGUGCUGGCUCUGUUAGGAAGGACAGUGCUCUUUCACCAGUGACAGUAACCACCCAGAGGACACAGGGCCUACAGGUAGGGUGGCACCUUUGCACUAAUGAUUAGAGAAAGCCUUGAGAAACAGAUUUGCAGGCAUGGAAUCUGUGCCUUCCAGUCUCAGAUUUCAAUGCAGAAAUAACACCAGGUGACUCUAUAGGAGGGAUUUUGUUUUCUAGAAUUCAUGAGACCACAAAUGAGGUACUAGACUUAAAAACUCUCAGUACCUGGGCAAUUAGAGGAGGAAAGCAGGAGUGUCAGCCCCUUUACCAAUCUUCUCCUAUGUCGGUGGAGGGUCCGGCCUCCCAGCUUCUGCUGACUGGACCUUUCCUUGAAAAGAUACGUCUAGGGACAGCCUUUGGUGCCUCCUGACAGGUGCAUAACUUAGAAAGGGCUCUGCAUUCCUGAUUUACUUUGAACAUGUGUUUGUAGAAAUGACUGCUUUAGAUUGUUUCUUAAUUUCUCCUACCCCUCUUAUUUGUUAGAGAUAGAAAUAUUCUCAAUUGUUUUUGAACUUCUCAUGGAUCUAGGAGAAAAGAGGUUCAGAAUAACAUGCACUCUCACUCAAGUGGGGAGACUAGUGGAACGUUGUGGACAGAGCAGUGAACCUGAAUUGGCAGCUGUAAGGUGGGUUAGGAGGCUACGCAGGGUCUAGGUGAGAGGGAUGGUGGGGGUGGUUGCAGUAAAGAUAGAGGGAAAGGAACAAGGAGGUAGAGUCCAGGGAUUUGAUGGAUUAGAAAUGGGGUGAAGGAACAAGGGCAAUCAAAGAUGACUGUGGUAUCAACAUUUACAAGACAGGUAACAAUAAAUAAGGAGCAAGUAUUUUUGUUUUGUUUUGUUUGUUUUGUUUUGUUUUGUGGGGAGGCUUGGCAGAAUUAGUAAUUGUGUUAGACCCAUUAAGUUUGGGAAGGCUACCGAUGUGUUCAUGUUGAAUCAGCAGUUGAACGUCCAAGUUUGAUGCUCAAGAGGGAGAAUGGAGCUGAAGAUAUAAAUUUGGGAGUCAUCAGGGAAUAAAUUGUAUUUAAAGUCAAGGGACUAGAUGAGAUCAUCUAAGAGAAAUGAGCAAGAAGCUGGAGGGAGUGGUGUGAGGUGAAGAGAAGAUUGAUUUAUUUCCUUUUACAGCAGGGCUACCAGAGCACGUUCGAUGGUUAUGGAGGUGAAUUGGUCAAUGUUAGUGUCAAACAGCAAAAUCUGGAGGCCUGGUUAUAAGGUCUUCCCUACUACCUCAUCCAGCAGGAUUAAUUAUUCCCUUGUCUCUACUCUCAUAGGGUUUGCCUAAUAGUAUUUAAUAACAUUUUAUUAUGGUAAGUUAUGUAAAUUUCUGUCUCUCGGGUGGAUAGUAAACUCUUUGGGAGAACAGGUAUCAUUUAUUAAUUGCCAACUAUGUCAAGCCUUUAUUAGGCACAUGAUGUGUGUGAUCUUAGUUACUCUUCUCCAGUCUACAGGUGAAAAAUUCAGGCUCAAGGAGGCUGAGUAACUGACCCACAAUAAUUGGGGCUGGAAGCAGAAUUGAGAUUCAAGUGCAGAUCUGUCUGCCUCUCAGCCAUACACUUUUCCUUGCCACACUUCUUUUUCAAUGUGUUCUGCUACGUAUCCUGGUGCCCGCUUAGCACAGUAACCCAUCAGGCACGUGCUAACCUGAAAUUCAGUGAUGGGGGAAUAUCCCAGAUUUUUAAAACCUACACUGGUCCUUCCACUGGAAUCCUGCUGUACUUCUUGAUCAGAAGAAAGACAGAAACAGGGGAGCUGGUGCUAGAGGUCAGCUGAGCUGAUGUUGGCAGCUGCUGAAGCUCCACUUGAGAACUGGCUUGGAAGAAGGAGCAAUGGAAAGAGGAGAACCUUUGGCUAAAGACGUGUCUUAAAAGAAGUUGCUGUGGCCGAUGUCGAAGAGGUUACUGCCUAUGUUCUCCUCUAGGAUUUUGAUGGAUUCCUGUCUUACACUGAGGUCUUUCAUCCAUUUUGAGUUUAUCUUUGUGUAGGGUGUAAGAGAGUGGUCUAGUUUCAUUCUUCUGUAUGUGGCUGUCCAAUUUUCCCAGCACCAUUUGUUGAAGAGAUUGCCUUUUUUCUAUUGGAUAUUCUUUCCUGCUUUUUAAAAUUCCCUUAUUUUGAGAACCUAGAAGAGUGCCUAACACAAUACAGAUCCUCUGCAAAUAUUUAUGGAAAUAAAUAAUAUUGAAUGAGAGAAUCCUUUGCCUAUAAAAAAAUGUACAUAUGCAAAAUAAUUUGUAUUCAUUCCAGGAGGCUCCCUUAGGACCAUAUGAAGCUUAGCUACUGACUCUGGGGUAAAUACCCAGGUAGAAAUUAAGAACAGCAGAAACCUCUGGGCACAUAAGCAUUUUAGGAAUGGCUGAAAAAAGAGGAAUAUAGGAAGGAAAUAGAUGGAGGGGCAAGAUGCAAGUAUGAAGCCAAGUCUAAGAUGCCACAGAGGUGGAGAUGGGGCUUUGUGAACAGUGUCAGAUGCUACAGAGGAAACAGUUUAUGAGGUGAAGUCUGAUGGUGACUGUUGAGUGUUGGGAUUAGGAGGCUAUCACUUAGCAAGGUGGAGACAAUAGGCAGAAAAGUGAAUAGAAAAGAGGAUGGAAAGUACAGGCAGCAUCUCAAGACAAUUGAUAGAAAGCAGAAGGAAUUCGAAAACAGUUGAAGAAGUUGCCUUGUUAUAAAAAUGGGCAAGAUCUGAUUAUGUUUAUAUGCUGAAGGGAAAGAACUUUAAACAGUCAAUGAGGGAUGUGGAAUUCAGAGUGGGAGGCAUCAGUGUAGUUUGGGGGAGGAAAAUGAAUCUAAAGAGAUGGGCAGGAUUUGGCUGUGUGAAGAUUCAGUCUCAAAAUAUGAAACAAAAAGUUUGUAAUAUACUGGUUGAUUAUGGCCACAGUAGUUAGAGUUAGUAUUGUAAUCCUGCUCUGCAGUUUACUAGAUAUGUGACAUUGGGGAUGAUUCUGGGUCUGAAUUUCCUCAUCUAGAGAAUGCAGCUAACAACAGAAUCUUUCUCAUACAGAUAUUAUGAGGACUGAAUGAAAUGGUUUCAUUACCAAGAUGUCAACCUGAGGCCUAUCUACCCCUCCAGUUCUAGGGCAAAUUGGUUUAAACCUUUGCUGGCUUUACGAUAUUCAAAAGUCUGAAGGCUUUCUCUGAAUCUCUUUACCCCCUCAGAUUUUACAUUCUUAGGUCACUUGGUUCCCCUCUUCUGUGUGCUCCUUAGCAGCUUUUAUGUAUGCUAUACUCACUCUAAAGGACCUCUCUUCUUUCUGUGGCUUCCUCAGAAAAACUUAAAAAAAAAUUAAAAUACAAUUAAAAA